GCGCCAGUAGUGCAGCGGGUUAAAGCACGCGCUCCCGGAUAGGGUGAGAUGCGGAUUCGAGUUCCGCCCCUAAUGCG